rnacentral:rRNA from 1 species
UACGGGGGGGGCAAGCGUUGUUCGGAAUUACUGGGCGUAAAGGGCGUGUAGGCGGCCAACUAAGUCCGACGUGAAAUCCCCAGGCUUAACCUGGGAACUGCGUCGGAUACUGGAUGGCUUGAAUCCGGGAGAGGGAUGCGGAAUUCCAGGUGUAGCGGUGAAAUGCGCAGAUAUCAGGAGGAACACCGGUGGCGAAGGCGGGUCUCUGGGCCGAUACUGACGCUGAGGAGCGAAAGCGUGGGGAGCGAACAGG